rnacentral:rRNA from 1 species
GCGGUGCAUUAGCUAGUUGGUAAGGUAAUGGCUUACCAAGGCGACGAUGCAUAGCCGAGUUGAGAGACUGAUCGGCCACAUUGGGACUGAGACACGGCCCAAACUCCUACGGGAGGCAGCAGUAGGGAAUCUUCCACAAUGGGCGAAAGCCUGAUGGAGCAACGCCGCGUGAGUGAAGAAGGUUUUCGGAUCGUAAAGCUCUGUUGUUGGUGAAGAAGGAUAGAGGUAGUAACUGGCCCCUAUUUGACGGUAAUCAACCAGAAAGUCACGGCUAACUACGUGCCAGCAGCCGCGGUAAUACGUAGGUGGCAAGCGUUGUCCGGAUUUAUUGGGCGUAAAGCGAGCGCAGGCGGAAAGAUAAGUCUGAUGUGAAAGCCCCCGGCUUAACCGAGGAAUUGCAUCGGAAACUGUGUUUCUUGAGUGCAGAAGAGGAGAGUGGAACUCCAUGUGUAGCGGUGGAAUGCGUAGAUAUAUGGAAGAACACCAGUGGCGAAGGCGGCUCUCUGGUCUGUAACUGACGCUGAGGCUCGAAAGCAUGGGUAGCGAACAGGAUUAGAUACCCUGGUAGUCCAUGCCGUAAACGAUGAGUGCUAAGUGUUGGGAGGUUUCCGCCUCUCA